rnacentral:rRNA from 1 species
AUGCUUCUCCUAAAGACUAAGCCAUGCAUGUCUUCGAAUAAGAGGAAGCAAUUCUCUCUGAAUCUGCGUACGGCUCCGCACACCAGUUGUAAACCAAAGCAAGCAAGCCCGGUCUCGACGCCUUUCGGGGCUAGGGGCCGGGCUACAAGGAUAACCCUGGUAAUUCUGAGGCUAAUACUUGACACCUAACCUGUCGACUGGGUCUCGGCCCGGGAAGCGGGGGGAUGUGCGACUAUCGGGCCAACGAAACCGGAAAGAGCG